UCAAUUUACGGUGUAGAAUUG
rnacentral:miRNA from 1 species